GGACAGCAGGGGGCACUGCUGGACAGUGGGGAGAUCUCAGGGGCUGCCCAGCUCAUCCAGGCUUAGGGAGGCAAACUGUGGGUUGAUCUAAUGCCCUCUGGGUGUCUUUUCAUUUGGAUUUAAUAGGCAGAACAGGGAGGAAGUUGACAAGGUUGCCCUGCCUGCCGCUGGGAACCUUCUGAUUCUCCUAGAUGGGAUGAGGAAACUGAGGCCCAGAGAUGGUGACAGAGUGGUACAUUGGAAAGGGUGCUGGAUUUGGAGUCACAUAUCCUGGAUUCAAAUCCCGUCUUUGACAUCUGGGCCACUCCGGGACUUUGGGCUCAAUAUCCUGUUAAUUAACAACAACAACAACAUUCUGGAAACUGUACAAAUAUUCUCUCGUUUGGUCUUUACAACUAUCCUGGAAGCAAUAAAUCAAGGUCAUUGUGAGUGAACUUGGAGACUGAUGAAACCUGAGAAAAAGCAUUUCUAAAAGAGAUAUCCCAGUUUGAGAAGGAAAAAAUGGAUUCCCGGUUCUGAGAAGAAACCUCUUACAAAGCUUCUCAAUUGCGUGGGAAAAACUGUGCUCUGGCAUCUCUGGGAGAAAGCAGGAGUCAGAAGGAGGAAGAAAGUUUCCCUCCUGUGAAUUUCAAUGAAGUUAGUACCUGUAGACUAUAUAAAAUAUGUUACAUACUUCAAUAAUACAUAAUAAUACAAAUAUAUUUUACAUAUAUACAUAUACAUCUUGUCAGAAUUUGGUAUGUUGGGCUCUUAUUUUUU